rnacentral:rRNA from 1 species
CCUACGGGUGGCAGCAGUGGGGGAUAUUGCACAAUGGGCGAAACCCUGAUGCAGCAACGCCGCGUGUGGGAAGAAGGUUUUCGGAUUGUAAACCACUGUUCUUGUUGAAGAUAAUGACGGUAAGCAAGGAGAAAGGUCCGGCUAAUUACGUGCCAGCAGCCGAGGUAAUACGUAGGGAGCAAGCGUUGUCCGGAUUUACUGGGUGUAAAGGGUGCGUAGGGGGUGUGGCAAGUGAGACGUGAAAACCAUAGGCUCAACCUGAGGACUGCCUUGGAUACUGUGGGGCUUGAGUGGAGUAGAGGUAGGCGGAAUUCCCGGUGUAGCGGUGAAAUGCGUAGAGAUCGGGAGGAACACCAGUGGCGAAGGCGGCCUACUGGACUUUAACUGACGCUGAUGCACGAAAGCAUGGGUAGCAAACAGGAUUAGAUACCCGGGUAGUC